UACGUAGGGUGCAAGCGUUGUCCGGAAUUUAUUGGGCGUAAAGAGCUCGUAGGCGGUUUGUCGCGUCUGCUGUGAAAUCUGGGGGCUCAACCCCCAGCCUGCAGUGGGUACGGGCAGACUAGAGUGCGGUAGGGGAGAUUGGAAUUCCUGGUGUAGCGGUGGAAUGCGCAGAUAUCAGGAGGAACACCGAUGGCGAAGGCAGAUCUCUGGGCCGUAACUGACGCUGAGGAGCGAAAGCAUGGGGAGCGAAGCAGG
rnacentral:rRNA from 1 species